rnacentral:rRNA from 1 species
AAAUUGAAGAGUUUGAUCAUGGCUCAGAUUGAACGCUGGCGGCAGGCCUAACACAUGCAAGUCGAGCGGUAGCACAGAGAGCUUGCUCUCGGGUGACGAGCGGCGGACGGGUGAGUAAUGUCUGGGAAACUGCCUGAUGGAGGGGGAUAACUACUGGAAACGGUAGCUAAUACCGCAUAACGUCGCAAGACCAAAGUGGGGGACCUUCGGGCCUCAUGCCAUCAGAUGUGCCCAGAUGGGAUUAGCUAGUAGGUGGGGUAACGGCUCACCUAGGCGACGAUCCCUAGCUGGUCUGAGAGGAUGACCAGCCACACUGGAACUGAGACACGGUCCAGACUCCUACGGGAGGCAGCAGUGGGGAAUAUUGCACAAUGGGCGCAAGCCUGAUGCAGCCAUGCCGCGUGUGUGAAGAAGGCCUUCGGGUUGUAAAGCACUUUCAGCGGGGAGGAAGGCGUUAAGGUUAAUAACCUUGGCGAUUGACGUUACCCGCAGAAGAAGCACCGGCUAACUCCGUGCCAGCAGCCGCGGUAAUACGGAGGGUGCAAGCGUUAAUCGGAAUUACUGGGCGUAAAGCGCACGCAGGCGGUCUGUCAAGUCGGAUGUGAAAUCCCCGGGCUCAACCUGGGAACUGCAUUCGAAACUGGCAGGCUAGAGUCUUGUAGAGGGGGGUAGAAUUCCAGGUGUAGCGGUGAAAUGCGUAGAGAUCUGGAGGAAUACCGGUGGCGAAGGCGGCCCCCUGGACAAAGACUGACGCUCAGGUGCGAAAGCGUGGGGAGCAAACAGGAUUAGAUACCCUGGUAGUCCACGCCGUAAACGAUGUCGAUUUGGAGGUUGUGCCCUUGAGGCGUGGCUUCCGGAGCUAACGCGUUAAAUCGACCGCCUGGGGAGUACGGCCGCAAGGUUAAAACUCAAAUGAAUUGACGGGGGCCCGCACAAGCGGUGGAGCAUGUGGUUUAAUUCGAUGCAACGCGAAGAACCUUACCUGGUCUUGACAUCCACAGAACUUUCCAGAGAUGGAUUGGUGCCUUCGGGAACUGUGAGACAGGUGCUGCAUGGCUGUCGUCAGCUCGUGUUGUGAAAUGUUGGGUUAAGUCCCGCAACGAGCGCAACCCUUAUCCUUUGUUGCCAGCGGUCCGGCCGGGAACUCAAAGGAGACUGCCAGUGAUAAACUGGAGGAAGGUGGGGAUGACGUCAAGUCAUCAUGGCCCUUACGACCAGGGCUACACACGUGCUACAAUGGCAUAUACAAAGAGAAGCGACCUCGCGAGAGCAAGCGGACCUCAUAAAGUAUGUCGUAGUCCGGAUUGGAGUCUGC